CCUGGCUUAUACUCCACCUUUCUCUUGGGCCCUAGUGCGCACAUGAAUCUGUCACAACGGUUAACCAGUUUUUUCUGGAAUUGAAGCACUGUCAGGGGAAAGCAAAAAGCGUUUUGGCGGCUCGAGUUAGAAACAAACACAGAUAAACACAUGUACAAUUGUUUAGCAUGCAAGUUCGUGAUUUUCCCGAUAUUUCAUUCGAAUGCGCGAGGUUUACAGACGGAAGGGCGUGAGUUUUGCGCCAUUUAUUUCACUAUAGUUGCGACCAAACAAUGGAGCAUUCAAUAUACAUGUGUUCUGCCAAGAAAGUGAGCCUCCUACCUGAGUCUGUAGCUGAUAGACCAUCCGCGUAGUAGCCCGAGAUGUGUUCACAUGCAGGAUUC